GACGAAGGACCCAAGCGUUGUCCGGAUUUAUUGGGUUUAAAGGGUGCGUAGGUGGCCCUGUAAGUCAGUGGUGAAAUAUCUCAGCUUAACUGAGAGGGUGCCAUUGAUACUGCAGGGCUUGAGUACAGAUGAGGUAGGCGGAAUUGACGGUGUAGCGGUGAAAUGCAUAGAUAUCGUCAAGAACACCGAUAGCGAAGGCAGCUUACCAAGCUGUAACUGACACUGAGGCACGAAAGUGUGGGGAUCAAACAGG
rnacentral:rRNA from 1 species